rnacentral:rRNA from 1 species
GAUGAACGCUGGCGGCGUGCCUAAUACAUGCAAGUCGAGCGAACGGACGAGAAGCUUGCUUCUCUGAUGUUAGCGGCGGACGGGUGAGUAACACGUGGAUAACCUACCUAUAAGACUGGGAUAACUUCGGGAAACCGGAGCUAAUACCGGAUAAUAUUUUGAACCGCAUGGUUCAAAAGUAAAAGACGGUCUUGCUGUCACUUAUAGAUGGAUCCGCGCUGCAUUAGCUAGUUGGUAAGGUAACGGCUUACCAAGGCAACGAUGCAUAGCCGACCUGAGAGGGUGAUCGGCCACACUGGAACUGAGACACGGUCCAGACUACUACGGGAGGCAGCAGUAGGGAAUCUUCCGCAGAGGGCGAAAGCCUGACGGAGCAACGCCGCGUGAGUGAUGAAGGUCUUCGGAUCGUAAAACUCUGUUAUUAGGGAAGAACAUAUGUGUAAGUAACUGUGCACAUCUUGACGGUACCUAAUCAGAAAGCCACGGCUAACUACGUG